rnacentral:lncRNA from 14 species
GGGAACCUAACGAAUUCAAACCCCGCCUCCUAGUAGGUCCUGCCUCCUUGCAGGCUGUUGCUAGGCGGCCCAAGGCAGCGGGUCGGUGUGGGCGGCUGCACGCCGUGGUAAAGAGAAGGCGGUUCUUUGGCUCCUCGCCGCGCUUGGCACCGGGACUCGCCUCCUCCAUCAGGCUCCCGGCUGCGAGCGAAGGGAAUCCCGUGAGCUGAGGCAGCCGGGCGGUGGCGCCCGACAGACGAGCGUAGACUUCACCAGUCUGGUAGAGAGAAGCAGCGGAUCGACCUGACCGCGGAGCAUCGCUUUACCUCAAAAAAGAAUUGUGCGUUCCGAGCCACCCGCAUCUCCAGUCCCUAAGGAGAAAUACUGAAUCGACUCGGAAGGCUCUGCAUCAGUAAGAUUACUUCUCUGUAGGGAAAAUGAAAAAGUCCUCAGAUACAGCAGGUUCUGGUGCUCCAAAUUCAGAUAGUCAGCUCCCAGAAAAAUUCCACAGGACACAUUCGGCACGCGCUGCAAAGAUAAAGGCAAGAAAAGAUAAUAGAGAGAUUUCAGCAGCAAAAAUACAGAAAGCCUGGUUCAUUUAUGUGGACAAAACAUUGUUUAAACUCCUAAA